rnacentral:rRNA from 1 species
AGAGUUUGAUCAUGGCUCAGAUUGAACGCUGGCGGCAGGCCUAACACAUGCAAGUCGAACGGUAACAGGAAGCAGCUUGCUGCUUCGCUGACGAGUGGCGGACGGGUGAGUAAUGUCUGGGAAACUGCCUGAUGGAGGGGGAUAACUACUGGAAACGGUAGCUAAUACCGCAUAAUGUCGCAAGACCAAAGAGGGGGACCUUCGGGCCUCUUGCCAUCGGAUGUGCCCAGAUGGGAUUAGCUUGUUGGUGGGGUAACGGCUCACCAAGGCGACGAUCCCUAGCUGGUCUGAGAGGAUGACCAGCCACACUGGAACUGAGACACGGUCCAGACUCCUACGGGAGGCAGCAGUGGGGAAUAUUGCACAAUGGGCGCAAGCCUGAUGCAGCCAUGCCGCGUGUAUGAAGAAGGCCUUCGGGUUGUAAAGUACUUUCAGCGGGGAGGAAGGGAGUAAAGUUAAUACCUUUGCUCAUUGACGUUACCCGCAGAAGAAGCACCGGCUAACUCCGUGCCAGCAGCCGCGGUAAUACGGAGGGUGCAAGCGUUAAUCGGAAUUACUGGGCGUAAAGCGCACGCAGGCGGUUUGUUAAGUCAGAUGUGAAAUCCCCGGGCUCAACCUGGGAACUGCAUCUGAUACUGGCAAGCUUGAGUCUCGUAGAGGGGGGUAGAAUUCCAGGUGUAGCGGUGAAAUGCGUAGAGAUCUGGAGGAAUACCGGUGGCGAAGGCGGCCCCCUGGACGAAGACUGACGCUCAGGUGCGAAAGCGUGGGGAGCAAACAGGAUUAGAUACCCUGGUAGUCCACGCCGUAAACGAUGUCGACUUGGAGGUUGUGCCCUUGAGGCGUGGCUUCCGGAGCUAACGCGUUAAGUCGACCGCCUGGGGAGUACGGCCGCAAGGUUAAAACUCAAAUGAAUUGACGGGGGCCCGCACAAGCGGUGGAGCAUGUGGUUUAAUUCGAUGCAACGCGAAGAACCUUACCUGGUCUUGACAUCCACAGAACUUUCCAGAGAUGGAUUGGUGCCUUCGGGAACUGUGAGACAGGUGCUGCAUGGCUGUCGUCAGCUCGUGUUGUGAAAUGUUGGGUUAAGUCCCGCAACGAGC